GGAUUUAUUAGGUUUAAAGGGUGCGCAGGCGGCCCUAUAAGUCAGUGGUGAAAGUUUGCGGCUUAACCGUAAAAUUGCCAUUGAUACUGUAGGGCUUGAAUAUGGUAGAGGUAGGCGGAAUGUGUAGUGUAGCGGUGAAAUGCUUAGAUAUUACACAGAACACCGAUUGCGAAGGCAGCUUACUAUGCCAUGAUUGACGCUGAGGCACGAAAGCGUGGGUAGCGAACAGGAUUAGAUACCCUGGUAGUCCACGCCGUAAACGAUGAUUACUGGUUGUGUGCGAUAUACAGUGCGCGACUGAGGGAAACCAUUAAGUAAUCCACCUGGGGAGUACGUUCGCAAGAAUGAAACUCAAAGGAAUUGACGGGGGCCCGCACAAGCGGAGGAACAUGUGGUUUAAUUCGAUGAUACGCGAGGAACCUUACCUGGGCUUAAAUGUAGAGUGCAUGAGUUGGAAACAGCUCUUUCCUUCGGGACCCUUUACAAGGUGCUGCAUGGUUGUCGUCAGCUCGUGCCGUGAGGUGUCGGGUUAAGUCCCAUAACGAGCGCAACCCCUAUCGUUAGUUGCCAGCGGGUAAUGCCGGGGACUCUAAUGAAACUGCCGGUGUAAACCGUGAGGAAGGUGGGGAUGACGUCAAAUCAGCACGGCCCUUAUGUCCAGGGCUACACACGUGUUACAAUGGCCGGUACAAUGGGCAGCUACCAGGUGACUGGAUGCUAAUCUCCAAAGCCGGUCUCAGUUCGGAUCGGAGUCUGCAACUCGACUCCGUGAAGUUGGAUUCGCUAGUAAUCGUAUAUCAGCAAUGAUACGGUGAAUACGUUCCCGGGCCUUGUACACACCGCCCGUCAAGCCAUGGAAGCUGGGGGUACCUGAAGUACGUAACCGCAAGGAGC
rnacentral:rRNA from 1 species